CAAAUUCUCACGAGACGUGUAGUUUUCAACUGUCAGUCCUGACCGGAGUAGCAGUACUUUUUUAAAGGGAAAGCGGGAAGCUGCCUUUACUAAGAGAUUGGUCUUGAGAGAGAUGCUUCUCAGAAAGACUUCCCAGUUGCUCUCCCACUCAUGAACGAGGACCAGUUUGAGGAACUAGAAGCAGCACUGAAGGACACCUCAGUUCGCCAAAAAAUGGUAAAUUUUAAGUUAACCGUUUUUGGUUUGAGUACUACAUUAUUAUUUCAAAUUUGUUCUAUUUUAGUUACAUUUAGAUUUUGACAAGAUUAACCUUUUUUUUCCUCUUUAAAUUAAGGUUACUCGUUUGGCAUUGGUUGGAGGGACCAACGCUGACAGUAUGAUCCGAAGGAUGUUAACUGCAACCCUUGCAAACAGCCUGGCCAGCACUUGUAAUUGGAAGGGCAAAGGACAAAAGAGGGUCUUCAAAGACACUGUUGCAGGACUGCAUGUUUGGUGAGUUUGGAACCUAAAGACGGACAGCACAGAAAGAAAAUCUGUUAGUUUUACACUUAUUUUUUGGCACAAACAUUUACAAUCUGGUUUUGUAAUACAUAGUUUAGUUGUAUGUAUUGUUACUUGAUGUAAUUUACUUCUAUAGACUAUAUUAAAUUACGAAUUAAAUAAGUAUAGCCUAAUCAUUAUUUAAGAAAUUGUGUAUCUUGAAAUAAUCUCCAGACCCCCAACUUGGUGCCUCGCAAAUCCCCUGUAGGUCCCAACCUCCACUUUGGUAACCACUGGUCUAGUGCAUAGGUCUGGGCAAAAAAAUCAAAUAAAUAUUGAAAAACAAAUGCUCAACUUUUAAAGUUGAUGAAUUAACCUAACAGGUAUUUCUUUUGGAGGAAGCCGGAGUACCCGGUGAGAACCCACGCAUGCACGGGGAGAACAUGCAAACUCCAUGCAGAAAGACGCUCAGUAGGAAGAGUAGUCGUCUUGCAAUCAGAAGUUUGUGUAUAUAAUAAUAAUAAAAUACAAUAAAAAAGCAAAUGCUCAACUUUUAAAGUUGAUGAAUUAACCUAACAGGUAUUUCUUUUGGAGGAAGCCGGAGUACCCGGUGAGAACCUACGCAUGCACGGGGAAAACAUGCAAACUCCAUGCAGAAAGACGCUCAGUAGGAAGAGUAGUUGUCUUGCAAUCAGAAGGACUCAGAUGCAGAGGCUGGCUGUGGCAGAAGGUGAAGUUUUAAUAAUAAAGAACUUACGUGGUAGUCAUGAUAGUGGUGACUGUGGCUCAGUAGUCGUCUUGCAAUCAGAAGUUUGUGUAUAUAAUAAUAAUAAAAUACAAUAAAAAAACAAAUGUUAUAUUAUAAGCACAGUUACUGAUUUUCAUGUGUUUUUGGGGUACAAAAGCAAAACCAGUUUAUGUUGCUGAAAAAUUUCUGUAUUCUCUUCCAAUAUUUUUUUCGGGUUUUAACCUCAACAAGAUGUGAGGUAUUCUCAGAUCUUUUUUCGUUAUCUGGGACUGGGGCUUUCGUGUUUUCAGAUCCUUUUGUGAGUGGUUCUUUGGUUUUGUGUUGUUUGUUCACCUGAUCAGCUCCUUCUGGUGCUUUUGUGUUAAAAAUGGCUGGAAUACAACGUACAACUUUGCAAUUGUUUUUUGUUUUCACAUCAGUCACAGUGCUUGACUUUUUGGGUGAACUGGUCUGUAUUUUCUCUUGUUCACUUAUGUCAGCUGGGUGUAGAGACUGCUUGUCUAUAUAUGUAACAAUUGGAUUAAAUCUUACAUGUUUACAAA